rnacentral:miRNA from 1 species
GACGUCGAAUAUCGACGUCAUAAACACCAAAGUUGAUCGUGUUUAUGACGUCGAAUAUCGACGUCAUAAACAUCUAAGUUUAUCGUGUUUAUGACGUCGAAUAUCGACGUCAUAAACACCAAAGUUGAUCGUGUUUAUGACGUCUAAUAUCGACGUCAUAAACACCAAAGUUGAUCGUGUUUAUGACGUCGAAUAUCGACGUCAUAAACAUCUAAGUUUAUCGUGUUUAUGACGUCGAAUAUCGACGCCAUAAACACCAAAGUUGACCGUGUUUAUGACGUCGAAUAUCGACGUC